GUGCCAGCAGCCGCGGUAAUACGAAGGGGGCUAGCGUUGUUCGGAAUUACUGGGCGUAAAGCGCGCGCAGGCGGCCUUUCAAGUCAGGGGUGAAAGCCCGGAGCUCAACUCCGGAAUUGCCUUUGAAACUGUCAGGCUCGAGUACGGGAGAGGUGAGUGGAAUUCCCAGUGUAGAGGUGAAAUUCGUAGAUAUUGGGAAGAACACCGGUGGCGAAGGCGGCUCACUGGCCCGUUUCUGACGCUCAGGCGCGACAGCGUGGGGAUCAAACAGGAUUAGAUACCCGUGUAGUCC
rnacentral:rRNA from 1 species